GAUGAACGCUGGCGGUAUGCUUAACACAUGCAAGUCGAACGGACUCUUCGGAGUUAGUGGCGGACGGGUGAGUAACGCGUGAGAAUCUGGCUUUGGGUUCGGGACAACCACUGGAAACGGUGGCUAAUACCGGAUGUGCCGAGAGGUAAAAGAGAAAUUGCCUGGAGAUGAGCUCGCGUCUGAUUAGCUAGUUGGUGAGGUAAAGGCUCACCAAGGCAGCGAUCAGUAGCUGGUCUGAGAGGAAGACCAGCCACACUGGGACUGAGACACGGCCGAGACUCAUGCGGGAGGGAGGAGUGGGGAAUUGUCCGAAAUGGGCGAGAGCGUGACGGAGCCGUACCGCGUGAGGGAAGAAGGCUCUUGGGGUGUAAAGCUUUUUUCUUAGAGAAGAACAGAAUGACGGUACCUAAGGAAUCAGCAUCGGCUAACUCCGUG
rnacentral:rRNA from 1 species